AUUGAACGCUGGCGGCAGGCCUAACACAUGCAAGUCGAACGGUAACAGGAAGAAGCUUGCUUCUUUGCUGACGAGUGGCGGACGGGUGAGUAAUGUCUGGGAAACUGCCUGAUGGAGGGGGAUAACUACUGGAAACGGUAGCUAAUACCGCAUAACGUCGCAAGACCGAAGAGGGGGACCUUCGGGCCUCUUGCCAUCGGAUGUGCCCAGAUGGGAUUAGCUAGUAGGUGGGGUAACGGCUCACCUAGGCGACGAUCCCUAGCUGGUCUGAGAGGAUGACCAGCCACACUGGAACUGAGACACGGUCCAGACUCCUACGGGAGGCAGCAGUGGGGAAUAUUGCACAAUGGGCGCAAGCCUGAUGCAGCCAUGCCGCGUGUAUGAAGAAGGCCUUCGGGUUGUAAAGUACUUUCAGCGGGGAGGAAGGGAGUAAAGUUAAUACCUUUACUCAUUGACGUUACCCGCAGAAGAAGCACCGGCUAACUCCGUG
rnacentral:rRNA from 1 species